GACAGAGGGUGCAAACGUUGUUCGGAAUUACUGGGCGUAAAGCGCGUGUAGGCUGCUUGGCAAGUCGGAUGUGAAAGCCCUGGGCUCAACCCAGGAAGUGCAUUCGAAACUGCCGAGCUGGAGUCCUGGAGAGGAAGGCGGAAUUCUCGGUGUAGAGGUGAAAUUCGUAGAUAUGGGGAGGAACACCGGUGGCGAAGGCGGGCCAC
rnacentral:rRNA from 1 species